rnacentral:rRNA from 1 species
GAUGAACGCUGGCGGCGUGCCUAAUACAUGCAAGUCGAGCGAACAGACGAGGAGCUUGCUCCUCUGACGUUAGCGGCGGACGGGUGAGUAACACGUGGAUAACCUACCUAUAAGACUGGGAUAACUUCGGGAAACCGGAGCUAAUACCGGAUAAUAUAUUGAACCGCAUGGUUCAAUGGUGAAAUACGGUUUUGCUGUCACUUAUAGAUGGAUCCGCGCCGCAUUAGCUAGUUGGUAAGGUAACGGCUUACCAAGGCAACGAUGAGUAGCCGACCUGUGAGGGUGAUCGGCCACACUGGAACUGAGACACGGUCCAGACUCCUACGGGAGGCAGCAGUAGGGAAUCUUCCGCAAUGGGCGAAAGCUUGACGUAGCAACGCCGCGUGAGUGAUGAAGGUCUUCGGAUCGUAAAACUCUGUUAUUAGGGAAGAACAAAUGUGUAAGUAACUAUGCACGUCUUGACGGUACCUAAUCAGAAAGCCACGGCUAACUACGUG